AGAAUCUGAAGGUGAUGCAGUAGAUACAAGUGGUAUCAAAUUAAACAUGUUGUCGGAAGUCGGGGGAAAGAAAGCCCGGAAAGAGCAGUUGAUCAACAGUCACCCUCUGCAUCAACUAAUCAUACACUAUCCCUCCCAAGCGAGAGCUGUUUUUGACAAGUGCACCUAUGUGGAUCCAGAUAACAUGGUUUCGGAGGAAAAGGAGGACUAUUGGGUUCAGUUUGACUACAGUGUUAUUGACGAUGCUACGGACGGUACCCUCCACCCUUUUAACACUAUGUUAGAACACGACAGAAUAGACUUGUUGGAUCACCCUCUUAUCAACUCUGUUAUCACUUACAAAUGGAAUGCACA